UGUGUGCCUAUGAUGGUGUUAAAUAUACUCCGAGAUUCAUUUCUAUGAUAUAAACUUCGAUCUGAGGCACUAG
rfam:Vigna angularis cultivar Jingnong 6 C3547983_1, whole genome shotgun sequence.